rnacentral:sRNA from 2 species
GCCAGGCCGACUGAGGAUCGUCGGCUGCGUCGCUACGGCGGCGCGGUCCGUCCCGCCCCGGGGUUCGCCCCGGGGGUUGCAGUGCCAUGUCCUUUCUGCCGGAUCGGCCACGAUCCGGCAGCUUUUGCAGUGGCGUGACCCGGGGAUUACAGUUCCCGUCACGCGCGACUUGUUAAAAUUCAGAUAAUCUCUACGGAUUAGACAGCCGGUUCAGCGUCUGUCUGCAUUGUUCAUCCAGACUUCGCAUAUGACCCAGCAACGCACUCUCAAGAACACCAUUCGCGCCACCGGCGUCGGCCUGCAUAGCGGCGACAAGGUGU